rnacentral:tRNA from 1 species
AUGUAGCCAAGUGGAUCAAGGCAGUGGAUUGNGAAUCCACCAUGCGCGA